rnacentral:misc_RNA from 1 species
UCCGGUUUGUCACCGGCAGUCUCCUUAGAGUGCCCUUGCGUAGCAACUAAGGAUAAGGGUUGCGCUCGUUGCGGGACUUAACCCAACAUCUCACGACACGAGCUGACGACAGCCAUGCAGCACCUGUGUCCAGGCUCCCUUUCGGGCACCCUCACGUCUCCGCGAGGUUCCUGGCAUGUCAAGGGUAGGUAAGGUUUUUCGCGUUGCAUCGAAUUAAUCCACAUCAUCCACCGCUUGUGCGGGUCCCCGUCAAUUCCUUUGAGUUUUAAUCUUGCGACCGUACUCCCCAGGCGGUCUACUUCACGCGUUAGCUGCGUUACCAAUCCAAUUAAGGACCGACAACUAGUAGACAUCGUUUAGGGCGUGGACUAC